AGGCGCGUAGCUCAGUGGGAGAGCGCUACCUUGACACGGUAGAGGUCGGCGGUUCGAAACCGCCCGUGCCUACCA
rnacentral:tRNA from 2 species